rnacentral:rRNA from 1 species
GACGGAGGGUGCAAGCGUUGUUCGGAAUUACUGGGCGUAAAGGGCGCGUAGGCGGUCUGUUAAGUUCGGUGUGAAAGCCCCCGGCUCACCUGGGGAACUGCGCCGGAAACCGACAGACUCGAGUACCGGAGAGGAGGGUGGAAUUCCUGGUGUAGCGGUGAAAUGCGUAGAUAUCAGGAGGAACACCGGUGGCGAAGGCGGCCCUCUGGACGGAUACUGACGCUGGAGGCGCGAAAGCGUGGGGAGCAAACAGG